AUACGGAGGAUGCGAGCGUUAUCCGGAUUUAUUGGGCUUAAAGGGUGCGUAGGCUGUGCGUUAAGUCAGGGGUGAAAUGCCGUCGCUCAACGACGGAGCUGCCCUUGAUACUGGCGUGCUGGAGUACGGAUGCCGUUGGAGGAAUGAGUGGUGUAGCGGUGAAAUGCUUAGAUAUCACUCAGAACACCGAUUGCGAAGGCAUCUGACGAAUCCGUCACUGACGCUGAGGCACGAAAGCGUGGGGAUAGAACAGGAUUAGAUACCCGGGUAUUCCACGCCGUAAACGAUGAUGACUAACCGUCGGCGAUAGACAGCCGGUGGCCAAGCGAAAGCGAUAAGUCAUCCACCUGGGGAGUACGUCGGCAACGAUGAAACUCAAAUGAAUUGACGGGG
rnacentral:rRNA from 1 species